AUUCUAUUGUUGUUCCAUACACACAAAUGAUUGCAUUUUCACACUUACGUGUGAGGUGUGACCCCCUCAAAUUUUGUUCUGAUGUUGGUACUUUUCUGGACAUGAGA
rnacentral:snoRNA from 1 species